rnacentral:rRNA from 1 species
GAUGAACGCUGGCGGCGUGCUUAACACAUGCAAGUCGAACGAAGCUGCUUAACUGAUCUUCUUCGGAAUUGAUGUUUUGUAGACUGAGUGGCGGACGGGUGAGUAACGCGUGGGUAACCUACCCUGUACAGGGGGAUAACAGUCAGAAAUGACUGCUAAUACCGCAUAAGACCACAGCACCGCAUGGUGCAGGGGUAAAAGCUCCGGUGGUACAGGAUGGACCCGCGUCUGAUUAGCUGGUUGGUGAGGUAACGGCUCACCAAGGCGACGAUCAGUAGCCGGCUUGAGAGAGUGAACGGCCACAUUGGGACUGAGACACGGCCCAAACUCCUACGGGAGGCAGCAGUGGGGAAUAUUGCACAAUGGGGGAAACCCUGAUGCAGCGACGCCGCGUGAGUGAAGAAGUAUCUCGGUAUGUAAAGCUCUAUCAGCAGGGAAGAAAAUGACGGUACCUGACUA